rnacentral:rRNA from 1 species
AGUCGAACGGUAGCAGAAAGUGCUUGCACUUUGCUGACGAGUGGCGGACGGGUGAGUAAUGCUUGGGAACUUGCCUUUAGGUGGGGGAUAACAGUUGGAAACGACUGCUAAUACCGCAUAAUGUCUACGGACCAAAGGGGGCUUCGGCUCCCGCCUUGAGAGAGGCCCAAGUGAGAUUAGCUAGUUGGUGGGGUAAAGGCCUACCAAGGCAACGAUCUCUAGCUGUUCUGAGAGGAAGAUCAGCCACACUGGGACUGAGACACGGCCCAGACUCCUACGGGAGGCAGCAGUGGGGAAUAUUGCACAAUGGGGGAAACCCUGAUGCAGCCAUGCCGCGUGUGUGAAGAAGGCCUUCGGGUUGUAAAGCACUUUCAGUUGUGAGGAAAGGUUGGUAGUUAAUACCUGCCAGCUGUGACGUUAACAACAGAAGAAGCACCGGCUAACUCCGUGCCAGCAGCCGCGGUAAUACGGAGGGUGCGAGCGUUAAUCGGAAUUACUGGGCGUAAAGCGCACGCAGGCGGCUUGUUAAGCUAGAGGUGAAAGCCCCGCGCUCAACGUGGGAACUGCCUUUAGAACUGGCAGGCUAGAGUCUUGGAGAGGGGAGUGGAAUUCCAGGUGUAGCGGUGAAAUGCGUAGAUAUCUGGAGGAACAUCAGUGGCGAAGGCGGCUCCCUGGCCAAAGACUGACGCUCAUGUGCGAAAGUGUGGGUAGCGAACAGGAUUAGAUACCCUGGUAGUCCACACCGUAAACGCUGUCUACUAGCUGUUUGUGUAUUUAAUACGUGAGUAGCGAAGCUAACGCGCUAAGUAGACCGCCUGGGGAGUACGGCCGCAAGGUUAAAACUCAAAUGAAUUGACGGGGGCCCGCACAAGCGGUGGAGCAUGUGGUUAAUUCGAUGCAACGCGAAGACCUUACCUACUCUUGACAUCCAGGAAUUUUUCAGAGAUGAUUAGUGCCUUCGGGAUCCUGAAACGGUGCUGCAUGCU